AAUGGGCGCAAGCCUGAUCCAGCCAUGCCGCGUGAGUGAUGAAGGCCUUAGGGUCGUAAAGCUCUUUCGCUGGGGAUGAUAAUGACAGUACCCAGUAAAGAAACCCCGGCUAACUCCGUGCCAGCAGCCGCGGUAAUACGGAGGGGGUUAGCGUUGUUCGGAAUUACUGGGCGUAAAGCGCACGUAGGCGGAUUGGAAAGUUGGGGGUGAAAUCCCGGGGCUCAACCUCGGAACUGCCUCCAAAACUAUCAGUCUAGAGUUCGAGAGAGGUGAGUGGAAUUCCGAGUGUAGAGGUGAAAUUCGUAGAUAUUCGGAGGAACACCAGUGGCGAAGGCGGCUCACUGGCUCGAUACUGACGCUGAGGUGCGAAAGUGUGGGGAGCAAACAGGAUU
rnacentral:rRNA from 1 species